AUGGAAGGUGAAGAGGAAAUUGUUGUUGUGGUUUGGAAUUGUGAGAUUAAUAUCAGAGAUGUUAGGCAACGAUUUAGAGAGAGGGCAGUAACAGGUUUAGGCAGCAUGUGGAGCAGGAUUUUGGACUGUAGGGGCAGCAACAGGGCUGACUUUUGGACAGCUUGUGCAAUUUUUUUAGACUAUUUUGGACAGUUGUUCUUAGACUGUGAUUGGCAACAUUAUUCAGCAGAAAAAAGGAGCAGCAUCAAGGUUACUUUGUAA